rnacentral:lncRNA from 1 species
GCAAAGGCAGGGCCCAUGGGCCAUUAGGACACAUAGUUCUCAGGUGUUUUCAUUUCAUGGCCUGACUUCUUUGAAUUCAGAUUAAAUCCCACUUGACAUGACCCUCUGGGACUCCUCGUGGAAAGUGGAGUCAUGUGAUAUCAGGGAGGCUGCUAAAGCAGUGCCGAGCUUGGGAAUCCCAAGCCAGGAUUUAGAACUUUAAGGGAAGUCACUCAAGGGGGCAUCACAAUGCUGAACUGGGAACCUUUCAACAAUGCUUAAGGGAUAAGUGAUAAGACAGGGGCCUCCAGAAUGAGUGACUAGCCUCCCUUUACAGUCUCACCUGCUCAGCUCUGUGACUCCAAACUGCAGUGUUUUCUCUCUUCAGUGGAGGAACGUGAGGCCCAGAGAUCCUUCUUGAGUUACCCAACGUCCUGCAGCCCGCAAUAGAGAAGCAGACUAGAGGCAACAUUACCGGAAUCUCUCUCUCCCAUCCCCCAUCCCAGACCCAGAUCCUUCUACUGCAGACACCUGCUGUUCUUUUAUUGAUGGCAUGGCUAGUGCUCAGUCAUCUGGUCACCACAACUCUACUGAGCCCCUCCCCUGGGUGCUGGACUGGCUCUAACACUGUGCGAACAGACAGAGGAAGGCUCAUGCUUGUGGAGCCAACGUUCUAAGUUGGGGAAGAGUCAAUGUAUGAAUUUUAAAAACAGUAAAACAAGAUCAUUUCAGAGAACGGAAGACAACAGCAAGCACGGGCCACCUGUGACCACGUGGACCCUAGGACCCAAGAGCAUGGCCCUGGAGCUGCCUGGCCCUACUGGCCUAGACUGGGCCUCGGCCACGCGCUCCUCACCUUCACAGUGGCAUUGCAGUACCGGGCACAGCCGCUCUUCAGGCUCCCAAACCUGCCACUGUAGACACAUCUGUGUGUGAAGAGUGCCUGGAGAAAGCCAAGGAGGGAAAGCAUGGCAGUCAGCAUGUUUAGGUCCUCCAGGCACUGCACACCCUCUGCAGACACUUGCCAUUGUACUUCCAUUUCACCACUGACGUCAGGAGAGAGUGCUGGACCACACUAGCAGACCUGGGUCUACAUCAGAGCUUGGACACCCUUUUUUAGGCCUGUUCCCUUGUUGGUGGAAUACAGGCCAGAGUUUGCAUCAUCCAUGGCCCACAGAUCUUUAUUCCCUCUUCCAUGCCACAGCAGAUGUCUCUAAGCAGAAAAUAUUUUCUGUUCAUUCUGGAUACGGUCUAGUCUCCCCUUCCGAUCUAUAGCCAUCCCUAAGAUCUCCUACAGAGACAUUUUGGAGCCCCCAAAGGGUCUAUCUACACUUCAUUGAAAGGUUUGCCAAACAAAAUUGUGAUAGUCUGAGUUUUUCUCUUAGGAGUGGGGCAGAUUUAUAUGCAUCCUUCCAUUCUAACCAACAAUGCCCACUCAUAAUUAUCUAGAACUCAUGUUUACUGAGAACAUUUUAUGGGCCAGACACAUUGCACAGAUGAGUUCAUCAAUCUUCAAUUCUAUGUGGAUGUUUCUCAUGCCAUUUUUUAUAGAUAAGGAAACAGGCCCAGACAGGUUAAAUCAUUUUUUCCAAGAAACACUGAUAGUAAGUAUAAGGUCUAGAGAAUGGGUCUUAUCACGUACAGACUUUAGGAUCACAGUCAUGUAGCCUCUGUGGGCCUCAGCUGCCUAAUUUAUAAAAUAUCAAGAAAAUAUUGAUGAGACAAUAAUGCUGAUUUCAAGUUUUGUCACGAGAAUUUAGUCUCUGGUUCAAAUUUUGUUUUAGAUAAUUGUUGAUGUCAAGCUUAUCCCUUCAUCUUAGGCUGUUGCUCAAGAAGAGGGCAAUGAGACUUUCCUAGGCUAUAAAAUCCUAAAAUAUUAGCUAUAUGAAGGAAUUCUGAGGUCACUGAGGAAGGAGCACUACAGUCCUUUUGGGAAUCUCAGGAUAAUUAACCAGGUGUGGGUCACAGGAUUCCCGGGAUGGGUGAUUUGAGGGCUUCUUUUGGCUCCUACCCAUGUGUCUAAUUUCCCUUUCUUUUCCCUCUUCCUUCUCUUUCCCUGGGCUGAGACAAUCAUAGAAUGGUGAUUAAACAUGUAGAACAAAUCAUGGUUCUGCCACAUCAGCUGUGUGACCUUGUACAAGGUGGUUUACGUUUCCUUGCCUUAGUGCCCUAAUCAUACAUUGGUUAUGGUGAUAAUAUACCCACCUCGUGGGGCUGCUGCAUAAAGCAUUUAGAACAAUGUCUGGCACACAGCAAUCACUGUGACACCAGCCAACACAAUUUCCUCUUCUCCUCCCUCUCACAUUCCCUGCUUGACAGCAUCCUGAAGGACUCAGGGGUAAUGCCUUUGUUAAGCAAAAUAAAUAUCUGAACACCUGCA